rnacentral:rRNA from 1 species
UGCCAGACGCCGCGGUAACACGGGGGGCGCAAGCGUUAUUCGGAAUUAUUGGGCGUAAAGGGUGUGCAGGCGGUCAUGUAUGUCAGGUGUGAAAUCUCGGGGCUCAACCCCGAAACUGCGCCUGAAACUACAUGACUAGAGUCUCGGAGAGGGUAGUGGAAUUCCUGGUGUAGCGGUGAAAUCCGUAGAUAUUCGGAGGAACACCAGUGGCGAAGGCGGCUUUCUGGACCGAUACUGACGCUGAGACGCGAAAGCGUGGGGAGCAAAUAGGAUUAGAUA